rnacentral:rRNA from 1 species
AUUGAACGCUGGCGGCAUGCUUUACACAUGCGAGUCGGACGGCAGCACAGAGAAGCUUGCUUCUUGGGUGGCGAGUGGCGAACGGGUGAGUCACAUAUCGGAACGUACCGAGCAGUGGGGGAUAACUAAUCGAACGAUUAGCUAAUACCGCAUAUCUUCUGAGGCAGAAAGCAGGGGACCAUUUGGCCUUGCGCUUUUUGAGCGGCCGAUAUCUGAUUAGCUAGUUGGUGGGGUAAAGGCCUACCAAGGCGACGAUCAGUAGCGGGUCUGAGAGGAUGAUCGGCCACACUGGAACUGAGACACGGCCCAGACUCCUACGGGAGGCAGCAGUGGGGAAUUUUGGACAAUGGGCGCAAGCCUGAUCCAGCCAUGCCGCGUGUCUGAAGAAGGCCUUCGGGUUGUAAAGGACUUUUGUCAGGGAAGAAAAGGGCGGGGUUAAUACCCCUGUCUGAUGACGGUACCUGAAGAAUAAGCACCGGCUAACUACGUG